rnacentral:rRNA from 1 species
UACAGAGGGGGCAAGCGUUGUUCGGAAUUACUGGGCGUAAAGGGCGCGUAGGCGGCCUGCUAAGUCGAACGUGAAAUCCCUGGGCUCAACCCAGGAACUGCGUCCGAUACUGGUUGGCUUGAAUCCGGGAGAGGGAUGUGGAAUUCCAGGUGUAGCGGUGAAAUGCGUAGAUAUCUGGAGGAACACCGGUGGCGAAGGCGACAUCCUGGACCGGUAUUGACGCUGAGGCGCGAAAGCUAGGGUAGCAAACGGG